ensembl:snRNA U6 U6 spliceosomal RNA
GUGUUCACUUCUGUAGCACGUAUACUAAAAUUGGAAUAAUACAGAGAAGAUUAGCAAAUUUGUGAAAAUUGGAAUAAUACAGAGAAGAUUAGCAAAUUUGU